UUACACUGGAAAAGGUAAUGACCUGUCUUCUCCUUGAGCCUGUUUCUCACUUUAUCAGUUCCCAUAGUCCUCUUGGAACAGUAUGGCUGUGUGUACACAUGUGUAUGCACGUGUGUAAGGGCCAGGGCCACCCUUCCUUCUAAACAUAGCACUGAUACGAUAGAAAGGCAUGUUUCUCAGCCCCAUUUGCCACAGGAAGCAGUUCCUCCUCCACUUGAAUUCCCUAGCCAUAGCAGCUAUGGAGAUUACUAAAGCAAACAUGUGCCCCUCUUCCCCUCUUUCAAAAAUUUGCCCCCCUGGGUGAGCUGUGGAGCGAGCCAGAGAUAGCUUUCAGCCCUUCCCAUGGGAACAGCUGGGUGCAUUAGCAAGUCCCUGGAGCUGCUGUGUGCCACUUGGGAAAAUAGAUUCACACCUGGCUCCGUGCCUGUCUCCUUCACCAGGGAGUGACACUUUGCCAGAAGCAGCUGAUACGCUGUGUGGCCCUGAACAGAUAGCCCUGGACCCAUUGUCCCUCAAGUAUAUUAUUGUCAGGGCUGGCUCAACUCAAGCUUCCACCCAAGCUCCAGGAUCAGAUAUCAUAGCAGCUGCUCAGCUGGCCUCGGGCAUAUUUUCAACUCUGCAUUUGUUUUCUAAGUUCGCUGUAUUGACUUUAUUCUUCCACUGCUCUCUUCACCUGACUUCUCAGGGCAUUUUAACAUUCAGCCCAACAAGAAAUCUCCACCAGAACCCCGAGUGGCGAAGAAACUGGGAAUGAUUGCUGGCGGGACAGGUGCAUUACACUGAGGGCCUUUCUCUCCCACCAUUGUUGACUGUUGCCAUGCAAAUUCCUAGGUGACCCUCUGAAGACCGGUAAUCAUAGCCAUAGUCAAAUCAGGGGAUUUCCAGCAAUGCUUAGAACUCCCUAGUAUCUGAAAAACAAAAUCAUAAGCAGGUAGAAACCAAAAAAAUAUUUUAACUGAUGGAAUUAGAGAAACAAAUUAAAUGGGCUUUCCUCAUAUUGAAUGGAUCUAAUAGUUUUUAGGUGAGAGAAGAGAGAAGCAGCUAGGAAUGACUAGCUAGGAAGAAAGAAAAUUAACAUUGGACACUACUAUGUAUUAGACACUGUGUAGUCUAAUACACUACUAUAUAUUAGACACAUAAAUUAGACACAUAUAUAGGUAUCUAUGAAGUAGGUACUAGCCUUUUCCUUUUACAGAGAGACAAUGGAGGUCCAGAGAGGCUAAAUGAUUUCCACAGGGUUAUUUCACUGGUAAUGGCCUGGAGCAAAAUUAGUAUUUGGCUCUGCCUAAUGCCUAAGUACAUGCACUUAACCUCUGCAAAUACAGUGUUCUAGAACCCUCAUCAUUGAAUCCGGAGGUACUUGCAGUCAUCUGUGACAUUGGAGUCCUAGCCUCCAAAGGACUUUCAGAAAAGUCUUAGCUUAGUUCCUAAGAAAGAUUUCUACAAUAUGAACUUAGAUGAAUUUGAAGGGUCCCCAGAAAUACAGAUGUUGGAGAAUAUGCAGGAAGAGUUUAGAGGAUGAGAAUGCUAAAGGAAAAUGGAGUGGAGUGGUGAAUGAGCAGAAUGAAGAUGAAAGGGCUGGUCAGCUAAGGAGCCAGGAAAGGGCAGAGAGUGUGGCCAGUACAUUUCACUGUGGGUAUCUUCAUGCAGGAAUCACCCCAAUGCUACAGCUGAUCCGAGCCAUCCUGAAAGUCCCUGAAGAUCCAACCCAGUGCUUUCUGCUUUUUGCCAACCAGACAGAAAAGGAUAUCAUCUUACGGGAGGACUUGGAGGAACUGCAGGCCCGCUAUCCCAAUCGCUUUAAGCUCUGGUUCACUCUGGAUCAUCCCCCAAAAGGUAUCCUUCUCAUUUCUGGACAUCCCACUAUCCCCUCAUUGUCAAAAUCAAAGCCUUGCCCCUUUGUGAGUUCUGGCUUCAUUGAAAUCAACCUUGCCUCACACUGCCGACUCGGAAGUCUGAGUGCACAGAUACAGUGAUCUCCUGGUCCCUUUCCUUUGGGUUCCUGUUUACCAGCUGGGUGACAGGGAUGGCUGUGCUGCUAAGGCUCAGCUUGAGGCAGGCUGAGUAUACCCAUUCCCAGCUGCUACCACUUGACACUUUCUCCAGAGCCUUUCAGGGCCCUCCCCAGUCUCAUGGCACCACACCCCCUUGCCAGCAUGUAUCUGGAGUAUUAAGUACUUUCUUCUCCCCAUACUUCAGAUUGGGCCUACAGCAAGGGCUUUGUGACUGCCGACAUGAUCCGGGAACACCUGCCCGCUCCAGGGGAUGAUGUGCUGGUACUGCUUUGUGGGCCACCCCCAAUGGUGCAGCUGGCCUGCCAUCCCAACUUGGACAAACUGGGCUACUCGCAAAAGAUGCGAUUCACCUACUGAGCAUCCUCCAGCUUCCCUGGUGCUGUUCGCUGCAGUUGUUCCCCAUCAGUACUCAAGCACUAUAAGCCUUAGAUUCCUUUCCUGAGAGUUUCAGGUUUUUUCAGUUACAUCUAGAGGUGAAAUCUGGAUAGUACCUGCAGGAACAAUAUUCCUGUAGCCAUGGAAGAGGGCCAAGGCUGAGUCACUCCUUGGAAGGCCUCCUAAAUCUCCCCGUGGCAACAGGUCCAGGAGAGGCCCAUGGAGCAGUCUCUUCCAUGGAGUAAGAAAGAAGGGAGCAUGUACGCUUGGUCCAAGAUUGGCUAGUUCCUUGAUAGCAUCUCACUCUCACCUUCUUUGUGUCUGUGAUGAAAGGAACAGUCUGUGCAAUGGGUUUUACUUAAACGUCACUGUUCAACCUAUGAGCAAAUCUGUACGUGUUAGUAUAAGUUGAGCAUACUUCCAGAGGUGGUCUUACGGAGAUGGCAAGAAAGGAGGAAAUGGUUUCUUCAGAUCUCAAAGGAGUCUGAAAUAUCAUAUUUCUGUGUGUGUCUCUCUCAGCCCCUGCCCAGGCUAGAGGGAAACAGCUACUGAUAAUCAAAAACUGCUGUUUGUGGCAGGAACCCCUGGCUGUGCAAAUAAAUGGGGCUGAGGCCCCUGUGUGAUAUUG
rnacentral:sRNA from 1 species